UCAAACCAAAAGCUGGCGACCGGCGCACGGGUGAGUAACACGUAUCCAACCUGCCUCAUACUCGGGGAUAGCCCUUCGAAAGAAAGAUUAAUAUCCGAUAGCAUAUAUUUCCCGCAUGGGUUUUAUAUUAAAGAAAUUCGGUAUGAGAUGGGGGUGCGUUCCAUUAGUUUGUUGGGGGGGUAACGGCCCACCAAGACUACGAUGGAUAGGGGUUCUGAGAGGAAGGUCCCCCACAUUGGAACUGAGACACGGUCCAA
rnacentral:rRNA from 1 species